CUUGCUGAUACAUUGGUAAGUACAAUUUAAAAUUUUUAAUAGAGUUUUCUUGUUGUUUAGCCACCACCAUUUGCCUCAGUUCAGUAAAACAGUUAAUAGUUAUAUGUGAAAUACAUUUUGUGUGUGUGUCUGCGUCCUCGAGUGCGUGUGUUUGUUUGUUUGUUUCAGCCAUGGGAACUUCAACAUGAAAGCAGUCCUUUACAGAAAGCAGCAGAAUAUGAGAAGGGUGCUGGGGAUCUUGUGCUUGCUAAUGAAGUACAACAGGUAGAAAACUAUUUUAUUAGUAAAACAGUGCAGCAGACAAUCUCCACCGCCUUUACUUUGCAAUUAGAUAACGAUUCACUGUUUGCUGAGCCCCCAGAAGAACCUGUGUUAGUAAUUUAAACAUUUGAAUCCAAUUAACCGCCAUCUUGUUUUAUACAAGACAUCAUGCAAUCAUGAGAGAAGUAUAUAUACCUUUAAAAAAAAAAAAAAAGUUUCCCUUUUUUUUUAGAGACACCAAUUUGCAGGCACAUGGAAUUAUUGCAAAUUUGGCACUGGAACUUGACCACAAGAAGGUCAGCAGGUUCAAUAUAUCAAGGUCAGCUGUAUGGGAUGGAGCUGUUAGAGGAUUUCGACGCAGCACAUACUCUGACAACUACGACAUGUUCAUCAAGUUUAAUGAUGAUGCUGGCAGCUUUGAAGAAGGUUUGGAUACAGGUGGCCCGGUGAAUUCCUCACACUUCUUAUGGGCAGUCUGCGAAAUCGCCCCAUCUUUGAUGGACCUCCAGAGAGCCGUUAUCUUGUAUAUAAUUCAAGAGCUGCCAGGCAAGAUGAGUACUUUUUAGCAGGAAAGAUGAUCGCUGUAUCCAUUGUGCAUGGGGGACCAGCACCACAUUUCCUCUCCAAGAACCUGGUCAACCACAUCACAGGGAAUCAGAGUUUCAGCGCCACUGUAGAAGAUGUGCAAGAUGAGGAGAUCACAAAAAUUUUACAUCAGGUCCUGAAAGCUGAAUCAGAGGAGUCUUUGCAUAAUCUUAUUUUGCAAAACAGCACAAUCUUCAAACUGCUGGAUGCCUCAGAAACGUCAAGCCUUUUGAGAAACAAGCAUUUGUGGAGGAGUACCUCAGAUGGUACAUCCUUGAAAGAAACCAAAG
ensembl:lncRNA